rnacentral:rRNA from 1 species
AUACGGAGGGUGCGAGCGUUAAUCGGAAUCACUGGGCGUAAAGCGCGCGCAGGCGGCUAUUUAAGUUGGAUGUGAAAGCCUACGGCUCAACCGUAGAACUGCAUCCAAAACUAUUUAGCUAGAGUGUGGGAGAGGAAGAUGGAAUUAGUUGUGUAGGGGUAAAAUCCGUAGAGAUAACUAGGAAUACCAAAAGCGAAGGCAAUCUUCUGGAACACUACUGACGCUGAGGCGCGAAAGCGUGGGGAGCAAACAGGAUUAGAAACCCUAGUAGUCC